rnacentral:tRNA from 1 species
GCGUCGGUAGUUCAGUGGUAGAAUACUCGCCUGCCACGCGGGUGACCGGGUUCAAUUCCCGGCCGACGCA